rnacentral:rRNA from 1 species
GAUGAACGCUAGCGGCAGGCUUAAUACAUGCAAGUCGAGGGGCAGCACAGGUAGCAAUACUGGGUGGCGACCGGCAAACGGGUGCGGAACACGUACGCAACCUUCCUUUAAGUGUGGGAUAGCCCAGGGAAACUUGGAUUAAUACCACGUAAUAUAACUGAGUGGCAUCAUUUGGUUAUUAUAGCUCCGGCGCUUAAAGA